UACGGAGGGUGCAAGCGUUGCUCGGAUUUAUUGGGCGUAAAGGGUAGGUAGGUGGUCUUAUUUGUCUAGGGUGAAAUCCUUGAGCUUAACUCAAGAAGUGCCCUAGAAACGGUAAGACUAGAGUCCUGGAGAGGGUCGUGGAAUUCCCGGUGUAGCGGUGAAAUGCGUAGAGAUCGGGAGGAACACCAGAGGCGAAGGCGGAUCUCUGGACAGUUCCUGACACUGAGGCACGAAGGCCAGGGGAGCAAACGGG
rnacentral:rRNA from 1 species